GACGGACGGUGCAAGCGUUGCUCGGAAUCACUGGGCGUAAAGGGUGCGUAGGUGGUUUGGUAAGUCAGUGGUGAAAUCGUCCGGCCCAACCGGACACGUGCCAAUGAUACUGCCGAACUCGAGUGCGUGAGGGGUGGGGGGAACGAGCAGUGUAGCGGUGAAAUGCGUAGAUAUUGCUCGGAAGGCCAAAGCCGAAGGGACCCCACUGGUACGUAACUGACACUGAGGCACGAAAGCGUGGGGAGCAAACAGG
rnacentral:rRNA from 1 species